rnacentral:rRNA from 1 species
UUCGGUGGCUAUUGCGGAGGGGUCACACCCGUUCCCAUCCCGAACACGGAAGUUAAGCCCUCCUGCGCCGAUGGUACUUGGUUGGAGACGACCUGGGAGAGUAGGACGCCGCCGGAU